GUGGGGAAUUUUGGACAAUGGGCGAAAGCCUGAUCCAGCAAUGCCGCGUGUGUGAAGAAGGCCUUCGGGUUGUAAACUGCUUUUGUACGGAACGAAACGGUCCUGGUUAAUACCUGGGGCUAAUGACGGUACCGUAAGAAUAAGCACCGGCUAACUACGUGCCAGCAGCCGCGGUAAUACGUAGGGUGCGAGCGUUAAUCGGAAUUACUGGGCGUAAAGCGUGCGCAGGCGGUGCUGUAAGACAGGCGUGAAAUCCCCGGGGUCAACCUGGGAAUUGCGCUUGUGACUGCAGUGCUGGAGUACGGCAGAGGGGGAUGGAAUUCCGCGUGUAGCAGUGAAAUGCGUAGAUAUGCGGAGGAACACCGAUGGCGAAGGCAGUCCCCUGGGCCUGUACUGACGCUCAUGCACGAAAGCGUGGGGAGCAAACAGGAUUAGAAACCCCGGUAGUCC
rnacentral:rRNA from 1 species